rnacentral:lncRNA from 1 species
GUUCCAACGAAAACUCCAAGAAAAUACCGAAAAAGCUUUUCGUAAAACCGAGAAGACCAAAUUAGAGAAGUAUAGAAACUCUAACCAAAUUCCUUUAUACCGUUGCUUCGAAGAAUCCGAACCGCUCAGGCAAUUGGUUGAGAAACGCCGCUCCACCGCCAACGUCAAUCCGUCGCAUGCGUGCUACCGCGCAUCUCCUUCUCUUGCUACCGUCGUACGGCUCCUGGAACCAUGAAUUAAUUA